rnacentral:rRNA from 1 species
UGGCGGCGUGCUUAACACAUGCAAGUCGAACGGAAAGGCCCUGCUUUUGUGGGGUGCUCGAGUGGCGAACGGGUGAGUAACACGUGAGUAACCUGCCCUUGACUUUGGGAUAACUUCAGGAAACUGGGGCUAAUACCGGAUAGGAGCUCCUGCUGCAUGGUGGGGGUUGGAAAGUUUCGGCGGUUGGGGAUGGACUCGCGGCUUAUCAGCUUGUUGGUGGGGUAGUGGCUUACCAAGGCUUUGACGGGUAGCCGGCCUGAGAGGGUGACCGGCCACAUUGGGACUGAGAUACGGCCCAGACUCCUACGGGAGGCAGCAGUGGGGAAUAUUGCACAAUGGGCGGAAGCCUGAUGCAGCAACGCCGCGUGCGGGAUGACGGCCUUCGGGUUGUAAACCGCUUUCGCCUGUGACGAAGCGUGAGUGACGGUAAUGGGUAAAGAAGCACCGGCUAACUACGUGCCAGCAGCCGCGGUGAUACGUAGGGUGCGAGCGUUGUCCGGAUUUAUUGGGCGUAAAGGGCUCGUAGGUGGUUGAUCGCGUCGGAAGUGUAAUCUUGGGGCUUAACCCUGAGCGUGCUUUCGAUACGGGUUGACUUGAGGAAGGUAGGGGAGAAUGGAAUUCCUGGUGGAGCGGUGGAAUGCGCAGAUAUCAGGAGGAACACCAGUGGCGAAGGCGGUUCUCUGGGCCUUUCCUGACGCUGAGGAGCGAAAGCGUGGGGAGCGAACAGGCUUAGAUACCCUGGUAGUCCACGCUGUAAACGGUGGGUACUAGGUGUGGGGUCCAUUCCACGGGUUCCGUGCCGUAGCUAACGCUUUAAGUACCCCGCCUGGGGAGUACGGCCGCAAGGCUAAAACUCAAAGGAAUUGACGGGGCCCCGCACAAGCGGCGGAGCAUGCGGAUUAAUUCGAUGCAACGCGUAGAACCUUACCUGGGUUUGACAUGGAUCGGGAGUGCUCAGAGAUGGGUGUGCCUCUUUUGGGGUCGGUUCACAGGUGGUGCAUGCCUGUCGUCAGCUCGUGUCGCGAGAUGUUGGGUUAAGUCCCGCAACGAGCGCAACCCUUGUUCACUGUUGCCAGCACGUUAUGGUGGGGACUCAGUGGAGACCGCCGGGGUCAACUCGGAGGAAGGUGGGGAUGACGUCAAGUCCUCAUGCCCCUUAUGUCCAGGGCUUCACGCAUGCUACAAUGGCUGGUACAGAGAGUGGCGAGCCUGUGAGGGUGAGCGAAUCUCGGAAAGCCGGUCUCAGUUCGGAUUGGGGUCUGCAACUCGACCUCAUGAAGUCGGAGUCGCUAGUAAUCGCAGAUCAGCAACGCUGCGGUGAAUACGUUCCCGGGGCUUGUACACACCGCCCGUCAAGUCAUGAAAGUUGGUAACACCCGAAGCCGGUGGCCUAACCGUUGUGGGGGAGCCGUCGAAGGUGGGACUGGUGAUUAGGACUA